UUGCGGUAAGUCAACUAUGGUACACAGGAUUAUGACAGAUUUGGACCGAUUUCUUAUGACUUUAACCUUAACCAACAAGCACCGAAUUAACCAGUAAAGCCUAACUGCUUCCCCACUUUAUACUGUCUCAACUACAAGAUCUGCAUUAGCAGUAGGAUCCUCUUCUUAGGUUCGAGUGUUGGCAAUGUAGUUAGUUUUGUCGACUCGAGUGGUUCUGCUCGAGCUUUGUCUGCAUCUGCAAGAGAGGUUCCAGUCGAGGAAAGUCUAGGUUCGGGCAAUAAUAAAGUACUGGAUUUGACUAAGCACAGAGAGUUCCAGAAGCAUAAGAAGCAGGAGCUGUUUUCAGAUCUUCAGCAGCAUAAUUGUCAAUUGAAAGUAUUGUUUCAGAAGAUGCAAGAGCAGAUGCCGUUCUAAAGUAAUCUGUGUUUGCAACUCGAUAAGAUGCCUCAGAAAGAUCAUAAGUUGGGUAAUAAUAUCUUACUAGCUUUGAUGCGGGUGAGGAAGACAGUUACUUGUCCGCUUGCAGGGCAGAGCCAUAGGUAUAGGAGCCGAGCCGGAUUAAGGUAUAGUUUACAGAGGUAUCGUAGCCCUAGGGAUAUCAUAAGAAAGGUAGAGAAUGGAGUUUACUACCCGGUAUUGAACUAGUAUUUCACUAAGGAAUAGGCCAAGCAACGUAGCUAUAAGAACAUCCCCUACUAUUAAUAAGAUAAUAUAUAAUUAUGUGUACAGUGUAUGUACUGUGGAAAUUGAAGUAGUUUAUCAUCUGAGUGUAGCUAUCUCGUAAACUCGGUAAAGCCUUUCAAAACUCAUUCCAAAAUAUUGAUGAAACCUAACCGCUGAACUAUAACAGGCUAUUCUAAGGCUUCUUCUCCUAUAACUUGAACUUUCGAAAAAAGAGUCCAAAGAGCCAGAGGAGUCAAAAGAGCUGCGCUACCACUACCAAGAAUGGUGUUUACUGAACACUUAAGGAAUCGAUAAAGUCAACAGAAAAACUACGGAAAUUGAUCCUAAACCUUUAAGAACAAAUAGGCGCCCCGAACACACAGGACAGAUUCCACUGCUCUGCUUUGAGGCGAGGUCUAGGUAAAGUACUGGCUCUGGCUCUUCUCCACUGUAAACUUGAACUGGGCAUUCACUUAGAGCUUCCAAGCAUGGAAUUUCUUCUUACCAACACCCGGAUACUUCUCUUGGAGACUCACUGUUUUCGGGAGCUCAACAAAGUAUAUAGUCAAAGUCUAGAGCAAGUCCCACUUCUUUGACAACUUUCUUUCAUUCCUACUUCUUUGUCUAAGUCUAAUGCCUAUUGGUUUCCAUCCUUUGUUAGCGAGGUAAGCCUUAUUAGUCGCAGUGAAAGCGUGAGUUCCAACCAGGAGUCUUGCCCAUAGUAGUUGACUUCCGAGUUAGCAGUGAAAGCCUUAGUUCUUAGUUUGAGCAUUGUAGUUAUUGGCUCUAUUCCUUGUUGUUGAUUUGAUUCUUUCUAAUAGUCGUUUUCAAGCCUGAGUUCAGAGUCUGAUUGGUAGCGGUUGAUUAUGCCCUAAGUGCAAUUGCUGUUAUCAGUGUUUUGACUCUUAUAGUUAAGAAUUGCCGUCUCAUAGUUAGUAGCUCAAAUCUUAUAGUUAGUAGCUGGGUGCGCUAGAUCAUAUCUGUAUUCUUUAUUCCCCAUUUCAUUCUUAUAUGAAGUAGUGUUUGGCCUUAGAGCCAGGAAAGACUAACUAACAGGCGAAUAUAGAGGAGAUCCUUAUCAGCAAUACCAGAAUCAAAGAUAGGGUAGCGAGGCAGUUAGGAAAGAGAGAUAGGUUUAGAUAUAGGGUCGUAGGCCCGAGAGCCAGUAACUACAGGAACCAAACAAGGAUUUGCAGUUGGAAAGCAAGGUUUGAUACCAGCUGUGGAGGCCCUAGUUCCGAGUUCGAGUGUUACCAGUAGUAGUGAAAGCCCUGUUUGUUGAUAUGAGUUAAAGUAUCAUAAGCACUAGUCCCAAUCUUGUAGUAGUGGGUUCCAGCCUCGACCCUAGUAGUUGUAGUUACCAAAGCAAGGAGCAGUUCACUCGUUCUGGGGUUAUUGAUUUUUGUCUUAUAGCUAUGAGUAGAAGCCUCAUUAGUAGUACCUCAUUUCAAGUGAAAGUCUCGUUGUGGCUCAUUCCUGGAGUGACUAGUUUUCAUUCUUACAAGCAUGGGUUUCAAACUCUCUGACUUCCUUAUUAGUGGGAUUCCCGCCAGUACUGAUUGAAUUCCUUUUCAUAAGAGAAAGUAUUAGAAACACUAGUUCACGUUCUUUUGAGUAUUGGUUGAAGUCCUAUAUUGUCAAUAAGGAAUGAGUGUUAAGGGAGGCAUACUAUAAUAUAAGGUAAUAAAGUAGAUAAGUCAGAAUAGCAGUUAUAGUGCAAAGAACGAUAUAAAGUAGUUGAGGCUGAAGAGCUAGCUGGAGUUUUAAGGCUAAGAAGUCAAAAAGGUGAACUAAAGUCUUGUUGACGGUGGUUUCCGGACUAGGAUAAGGUAGUGUCUGGCUCGGGAGUGAUGCAAUAAGGCUGGGUGGACAAAAGAAGAAGGCUUGGAACUGGACAUAGAGAAUAAGGCUUGGCGAAGAGGUGAGCUAUAAGGAUUGACUACCUGGUGAGUUAGGCUUGUCCCUCUUACGCGGGGGUAAGGUUUGAUUGUGUGACGAGUCAGUGUUGUUGGCAGUGUUAUCCGUCGUGAUUUCAUUCCUUCCAGUAGACGCCAAGCUUAGUUGUAAGUGUAGCUAAAGGGAGCUAAUGAGGCAAGCUACUACUCUAGUUCUGGGUUAGCAGAAUAAACAGGAUCCGUGUUCAUAAUCAAGAUAUUAAGCUUCAGAAUGGCCUGUUCCUGUUGAGUUAGAAGCUUACGGAGUUCCGUGUAUCAGAAUUCUUUGUUGCGAAUCACUUAUUUACCCACGUAGCAGUUAAGUUGAAAGAGAAUGAACCUUAGAAAUAGAAAGAUUAGAUAAGAGGGUAGUAUAGACCCACCUGGUAAUUAGCCAGAGGAUUGAGCUCCUAACACGCUUAACCUAGAUCCACUAUAAGCACAAGCAGGUAAUUUCAUGAAAUAAGAAAAGGUUUCUAGUAUAGCAUAGAAGCGGGUAGUAUUCAAUCAAGAUAAUCUUAUUCCAGUGUCGGUCGAGUCAGAAUUCUCUGCAUACGAUGGAAAUGUUGUUUCUGUUUGAAAGGAAGCUACAAUUCCAGUUGUUUAUGAAGUAGACUGUGCCGAGGAAGGCCUCUUUCUCGUCCUUGAACAUAGGGGAAACUAGUUAAUGGAAUGGCAACCCUAUUAAACAACUUAUCUGCUACACUAAUGAAUUGGAUACUAAUAUCUUAGCUUUGAAGCUCCCUAUCUUAGCUUUGAAGCUCCCGUAAGCGGUAGAGAACAGGAACUCUACUUUGAUUUCAGAAUUCUCCUUUCAUAGCUGCUUCCUUUGGCACUGCUGGCUUUCAGGCUCUUCUACGGCUUAGCCUCUCAUCUUUGCUUUCGAACUCAAACAUCAAAUUCUUCCUCACCAAGAUCCCAGAUCCAGCUUUUACGCCUAAUUGAUAGUUUUAGGCUGGAACACCAUAUCCUUGCUUCUCUUGAAACAGUUUCUUCUCCUUCUCCCGAUGCAGAAAGGAUUUGCGCAAGAGACUUUUGAUACCUAACAGUUGAUUCUGCUUACUUGGGGACAGCUUCCCUUUUGCUUUAAGAUUCCUCUCCUUAUCCUUAUGAUUCUCUAGCUUCUUUCACUUGCAACAGCUUCGGCUUUAGACUCAGAUCCAGCAUCCUCUGAUGUCUACCUUUGAAUUGAAUAUCUCUCUUAUUUAGCAUCUGGUAUAGAAUGAAAUAAAGGUGUCGAACAGAAACUGCAUUAACUCCUCGUCGACAAAGAAUUCUUCAAUAAGGUUGGAUUUCUCAUUAGCUACGUUUCCCCGCGAUGAAAAAAGGGUAUACAAAGGUCUCUGUGUUGGGCCGUUCGAGCAAGGAUCGUUGGGAGUUCGGAUAGCCUUACUGAUCUAUAAGUCAGUUAAGAAUAUCGGCACCACCAAGAGAAUUGAGAAUCUAGAAUUGAGAAUAUCAGCAUCCCCAAGAGUCAAAGAGUAAGCUAAACUCAAUCAAACAUCAAUUGUGGAACGAGAACGAACAAGCAAGGGUGCAAAGGGAAAGGCGGAAAACGGAACUCAUUGUCUCACUUACCGCUUUUUAAGGGCUGAUGAUCUCUCUUCCGCUUCUGCACUUCCAUCUUUUCCUGUUUUCCUCGGUGUACUAUAAUCAAUGAAGUCUUAGCUUACUGAUGGAGAGUCAAAUUGAUAUGAAUGAGCAAGCCGGCUAAAAGAGUUACUGUUCCAUUAUCAGCUGAAAGUAGUGGUGUUGUGUCUUUACGUCAAUCUAUACCUUCUGGCAAAAUAGAACCAAGUCCUGUUAUAACCAAGUCCUGUGAAGAAUCAAGUACAACAUAAUCAGCUGUUUAAAGUGUAGUUCCUGUUUCAAGUUGAAAUUCUGGAUUCUUUGAUUUGCUUGUUGGAUCAAGAUCAGACUCCGGAGUAGGAACUGGAUUGGAAGCUGAAGCUGGAAGGUAAACAAGAUAAUCCGAUGGGCUGUUACGAGCAUAAGCAAGAUAGAUCAGGCCAGGCUCCGUUCUAAAGUAAGCUUAUGAAGUAGGAUAAGGAUCUGAAGUUGUAUCUGGAGAAGAUAAUAUGUAGUUGAAAGAUCUUAAUCCGCUGUUGAAAGAGAGUAAGAUGCAUCUGAGGAAGCUGCCCGCUCGCAAACACCGAAAUAAAGACUUGCUCUUGCCAACAGUGCGUAGAAAGAAGCCAUAAUCAGGUAUAGAUAAAGGUAUUACUAACCUUAUAUACGAUCUCGGCGUAGCGCCCCUAAAGUCAAGAAUGGAAUGGAGCGAGUCCUCAUUCUAGCGUUAUAGAAGUUGCACGUUAAGGAGUGAAGCUUCUGCUUUGGCUUCUGUGCUCGAAUCGAAAGAUUGAAAUGUAGUAUUUGGACUCGGCCCAAGAUUCCUUUACUGGUCUAGGCCCAACAGAGGAAGCUGUUUCAAGUCUUGUUUAGGGUGGGUGUUAGCGAUGAGAGAGGUGAGAGUGUCGGUUCAGAAUCAAGAUCAACUACUAGGGGGUAGCACAUAUUCCUUUUGUAAGGUGCUGAAAGCCUGUUAGGUUUGAUUACUUUCUUCUAUUAGUAGCGGGUGCCUACUCUUUCUUAAGUAUAGUUAAUAAGUGCUAAUUAUGACUAUAGUGGCGGGUGCUAACGUGAGAGAGUUCUCAGUCCAGUCUUAAGAUUGUUUACUAACUUACAUUAUAGGUACACUAAUAAAGGGUUGUUUACUAACUUACAUUAUAGGUACACUAAUAAAGUCAGAGAAUAUGGAAUAGAAGCGCUUUGUUAUCAAAUUAGAGAAUAGGUGGCUCAAUGAAUAAGAGGAAGAAAUAUGGGCUAAGGCAGGUAUUAUUAAAAAAAGGGCAGGGCAUCGCAACAAGUAAGGUUUCAAGAAAGAGUCGAAAGGAAGCCAAAGCAUUAUAUAGAUACUGAGUGGAAAAGAAGCCAAAGCAUUAUAUAUUUAAAGGUCAAUAUUAUACACUUAUAUACUUAAGGCAUAUAGCAAGUGAAAGGUUUCGGCUAACGUAAGAGUUCGGGUGCUUUACUUUCAUCGUGCGGUUAAGAAAGUGGAGUUAUAUUGUCUGCAUGCAAGAUCCGUUAUUGGCUCUAAGUCCGGAGUCAGCUAAGCAGUUAAGUAGAAAGCAGUUGGCGCAGCAGCUAGCAUUAUAAGGUAUAUAAAUCAAGGAGGUAAUAAUCAUAAGAGGAUUUCGCUCUAGAGUCGUAAUUAUGGAAUCAGAGGAUAUAGCCUCGAGAGUCCAAUUCCCAUUCAUGAGUUUCACGUUAAGAUCAUGCGCGUUAAGAAAGGGUGCUCCGUUCAAUUGCUUAGAUUAUAGGUAUAGUCGAUCACAGAAAUAUCACUAUGGCAGUUCCAGUUAGAUUCAAUGAAACAAAGCGAAUGCAAUAGAUUCAUAAGAGUUACAAGAAAGCAACAUUCCUAUACUCUAAUAUAUGGUAUGCGCAAGACAAGAGAAGAGAGAGAGUCAAUGACAUGAUUAACUUCAAGGAGAGGCUCUUAUUGUAAGUUUGCUAAGCAAGAAAUAGAAUAUGUAAGUAUACAGCCCGCAAAGUACUCGAAAUAAGCCUUAUUUCCUUCCUUAGAGAAUUGCCCGCCAAGUUACUAGGUGCUUUGAUUCUUCCAGUUGCUCACAUUCCUCAGAACUCUGGGAUACUGGACUUGCUUUGACUAAAAGACUAGAAAAUCCACCAAUCCAUGUUGACCAAGGCAAUGCUAAUUAUUUCUCGAGUAAAGUUCCUUAUUCGUAGCGGGUACAUCUUUCGUUCGCAGACGAUUCACUUCCCAUUUUCCAUUAGUGAAAAAGCGGGGUUUGGAGAAGAUCUGCCAAAAACUCAACUAGGGGGCAACUACUGUCGUUGAUGUGUGAGGAGCGAUGUAAGCCAAGCCCCUUGGAUUUUGGAUUAUUUGUAAAUUGUAAGCGGCUUGGCAGCUGUCAAAUAGGAUACAGAAGAGAAGGUCCCAUACUAAGAGAAAAACGGAAAGAAGUAAAGACUGUUGCCCGGCUGACAACCUGGCUUUGAAUAGGAAGGAGAUGAAUAGAGUUAUAACAGAUGAAAGCCAAGCGUGGAUAGAAAGUCCCGUAUCGGUUAUGAAAUUGAUAGACCCAAGGCCUGGAGGCAUAGUGACAAUCUCCGCUUGAAAAGCAAAGGGGCGCGUUUCAUCCGCUUAAGCUAGAAGAAACAUGGUAGUCGCCAGGAAGAGAUGCUGACGCGGACAUAUAGUUUUCGUAGAAAUUCCCGGCAUAUGAUUCGACGGCCAGCUGAAGAACGUAGAUUGGAUUAGAAAAAGCAAGCUGAUUAGACUAAAUGAAAUAGGCUUGAAGCACCUUUAUCGAAUAAGGCACUACCCGAGUCAUUCAGCAACGGAAUCCUUCUUAGUAUACGCGGGGAUCCAUCAUUCAUUCCUGCGGUCAUGUAUUGGGUUGAAUGAUGACCUUAGAAAGAGGGUUGGGUAGAUAGGGAUUGUAGUUGCUUUCUAAGCGCUUGCUUCUAAUAAGUAAAGUAAGCGCAUACUCGCCUGAAAGUGGUCUGCGCUUUCCACUCCAUAAGCAUUUCUUAAGGAUUCCCCAAUCGGUAAAUCUCAUUCGACUCGGUCAUUCCUUUGGCAGUCUAGAAUGAUCAAUUCCAGAGCUGGAAGAAGACCUUGAGUAAAUACUCCUAUAUCCCACACCUUGAGUAAAUACUCCUAUAUCCCACACCUUGAGUCUCGCUCGAGCAUAUACGAACCUUGGAUUGACUAUCCCAUAACUGAACUCGUAAACUCACUCCGAUCCUAGCUAAUCUAAGUGCUAAGAGCUUUGAUUUCCCUCCGUUCCUUUGCUUGCCCUACUGUUUAGUCCGGGAGCACAUCCUUAACGAAACUCCUUUCCAGCAGCUGCUGCAGAAGAAGAUUGGUUUCCCUGUCUCAGUCUUGGUCCAACAGAUUAGUACUCCGGCAAAGAGAAAGAAAGAAAGACGACAAUCAAAAGGAUUAAGAAGCCAGCAAGAAAGGUAGGCAAGGAAGGAUUAUAACAGCUUAAUGGCGCUGCUAAGAGCGAGGAAAUAUUAGCCUAUUAAAAGCAAAGAGCACUUGAUCUUAUCUUUAAACAAAACAAACCGUUUGGGAGACGUCGAGGCCAAUAACAAUCAAAGGGGAAUUAGGAUGGUAUAUCAUCUUUUCGUAGCCCCUGAGCCAAGUAGUUGAUGCCCUAAGAUAGCUAGAGAAUUAGGAGCAGGCGAAGCUAUCAGCUUAGGCAAUAUUUGGAUGCGGUUGUAGUGAGCAACGAGAACAAAAGGUGAAAUAAAGAGCUUUUCGCACUAAGGGAUGGAUGAUGCGGCGGUACUUGCACUUUAUAUGCUACCUCGCGUAUUGAUGAAGCAUUGAGUAUUGAGGGAUCUUCGGGGCAAUGAAAUGCAGAAACCCUAUUAUUUCCUCCAAUGUGAGUUAGGGGGGAGGGAUAGCAUAAUGAAAAUAUGUAUAGCCUCGGAUACGCUUGCCUCAGGUGUGCCCCGAGACUUUUGGAAUGAAUAAGAAGCUGUGUAACAAAGAACGAAUGGAACGGCCCGAGACUUUUGGAAUGAAUAAGAAGCUGUGUAACAAAGAACGAAUGGAACUCCACUAGAGGCUAUAUAGUUAAGGCAUACUAGACCAAACUAAAGGGCUGUUAUCAAAACGAUUUCUUGGCGGUGAAAACAUCUACGAAGACAGG
rnacentral:lncRNA from 1 species